rnacentral:rRNA from 1 species
UGGGGAAUAUUGGACAAUGGGCGAAAGCCUGAUCCAGCAAUGCCGCGUGUGUGAAGAAGGCCUUCGGGUUGUAAAGCACUUUAGUGGGGGAAGAAAGGUGCGCAAGCAUUUUGACGGUACCCCAAGAAUAAGCACCGGCUAACUCUGUGCCAGCAGCCGCGGUAAUACAGAGGGUGCGAGCGUUAAUCGGAAUGACUGGGCGUAAAGGGCGCGUAGGUGGAUGUGUGUGUUGGAUGUGAAAGCCCCGGGCUUAACCUGGGAAUUGCAUACAAAACUGCACAUCUAGAGUAGAGCAGAGGUAAGUGGAAUUUCCGGAGUAGCGGUGAAAUGCGUAGAUACCGGAAGGAACACCAGUGGCGAAGGCGACUUACUGGGCUCAAACUGACACUGAGGCGCGAAAGCGUGGGGAGCAAACAGG